AUGUUGCAAUUUCGAUCCUUUUUGAUUCAACUUGAAUAUAUAUCUGUCAUGAUGCUAAUGGAUGUAACCCUCUUUAGGAUGGCUCCUCCAACGCGUCAGAAUCCCAAACCGCCGCCACCACCUCCACCUCCGGAGGCAUGGCAAGCUGUGAUGGCCGCUACCAAUGCCAACACGCAGAUGCUCAUGCAACUCUUGCAAGAGCACAACCAAGGAAAUCAAGGCCAUGGCAACAAUCAGAAUCAAUUUGCUACACUCAACCAGCUCCUCGCAAACCAGCCAAAGACCUUCAGUAAAUGUGUCGAGGCAACAGACGCUGAUGAUUGGCUCGUGGAUAUCUGCAAGCAUUUCGAGUGCAGCAACGUCAGGCCUGAGGACUUUGUCAAGUUUUCCUCGUUCCAACUCAAAGACCAAGCUGCAGAGUGGUAUCAGCAAUACAAAGAUUCCAGAGGAGGUCGUGUGAUUACCUGGGAUGAAUUCUGUCAAGACUUCAAAGCUCACCACAUUCCUCAGAGUGUUGUUGAGAGCAAGCGUGACGAGUUCCGCAAUCUGAAGCAAGGCAGCUUGUCUGUUUACCAGUAUAACAUCAUGUUCCAGAAGCUCGCUCGUUUCGCUAAGCAAGACGUCCCUGACAAGAAGAGCAUGAUUUAUCAGUUCAGAGGUGGCCUUAGAGAAGAUCUCCAACUUGCUCUCGUGCUUUUUGAGCCGAAGAAGUACGAUGAGUUCUACAAUAUGGCACUGAAACAAGAGACUGCUCAGCUCAAGUGUGAUGCUUUCAAGAAACGAGUCAGGGAUGCAACUCCUUCUUCCUCAACUCAAGUGGUAACUAAGCAGCAAAAGUAUUGGUUGCCUCCUCCUCCUCCAUUUCGUCAGCCUUAUCAGCAGAAGAGCAAAGGUGGCAAUGGAUCUUCCCACCCACCCAACCCAGGCUUUCAGAACAAGACUUCGUCUCAUGCUCCAAGAUCAAGUGCUCCGUAUCACCGUCCGCUCUCGGAGGUCACGUGCAACAAGUGUCAGCAGAAGGGUCACUGUGCCAACAAAUGCUUCAAUCAGAGGUGUCUUCCUCCUCCUCCUCCUGUGAGAUCUACUAGCACGACAGUGGUCAAGCAUAAUCCCAAGCAUGCCAAGGUCAACAUGAUGAACGCAGCUCAGGCAGAGGACUCGUCAGAAGUUGUCAUGGAUGCAGGGACCGAUGAUACCGCUCCAGGAGUUUCGACUGAGCUCAAGUGGGAGUUCGAUGAGGACUCAGGACGAUACUACGUUUCCUUCCCAGACGAUCAGUAG
rnacentral:rRNA from 1 species